UGUUAUGCUGCUGGGAGAAGAGCAGACAGCAGCAGUCAGCCACUGACACUAUGGACACAGAGAGCAGCGCUGGAGAGUCAGGCUAGACACCACUGACACCUGUCCUGGAGCAGGGAGGGCUCACUCUGCUGCAUAGAUUAAAAGCCCACAGGGCCAAAGCUGACGAUUCCAUGCACCUCCCAGGUUGUGUUUGCUCCGGAGGCCGUGCAGGCGAAUGGACCACCAGAGUCACCCUACGGGAGAGCAGGAGAGGAAAGUCACCAAAGAUUUACUAUACGGCAUAAGAAGAUGCAUUGCCGGUGACAAAACAGCGUGUCCCAGCAGGCAUCACAGCCCCGGGUUUGGGCAGACAGAUGGGGCUGAUCUCCCUCUUCAUAUUGACAGGCUUGGUCAAAUGCACCAGGGCUACGUCAUUUGUGAUGUCAGUGCGAUCCUGCUCGUAGACGAACCCCUUGUGGCGGAUGAUGCCAUCCACCUUAUAGCAUUCCUCUGCUGAGGGAACGUCCCUGGAGGAGUUCAUGUGGUGCUUCCCCAAACACAUGCGCCAGAAGGAGGGUGUAUUCAGUGGGCUGGAAAGCAGGUGGAAGGUUGAAGGGUCCACUGCCCUCCAGGAGGCAGUGAAGCCUGUGUCCACCACCUUGUCGUUGGAGGAGAAGCUGAUGUGAAGUGUGUUUUCAACGCUCACCAGGUCUUUAGGGGGUACAUGGCUACAAUGUGUGCCUGAAGAGAAAUGAACGUGAACAACAGUCAGGCUGACUUUUAUAGUGAAUCUCUGUGCUAAGAGCUUGUGUAUGAUGUUAUAAGUAUAUUAGUAUAUUAAUUACUAACUCAUAUGCUUCUCUCUGUCCUAUUUUAAUAUUAUACAUGCAUGACAUAUACACGUGCAUAGCCUACAUGAUUUUUAAGCCUGAGAGAAAAAUCACAAGCUAAAUCAGCACACCUGUUCUAGUUAGUUGCAGGCAAACAUCGAGAAAAGAGAAAGGGAAAGCCACACACUCAUAACGUUGAUGCAAAAUCUCCCCUCUUCAAUAUAAAGGGGUUGAGAAGGUUGACUUUCCUAGAUGUAGUGCAGCCUUGGAUGGUUUUUAGUGCCAGUUAGCAGAUGUUAGCAUGCUAACUCAGUAAACUGUAAUUGUUGGAAUCAUUCUGAGCAUGUUAGCAUUUAGCUUAAAGUGCACAUUAGCCUCUAGCAUGGCUAUUUACUCUUAGCAUUGUGUAAAAUUGUAUUAAUAUGUAGAGAUUCAUGUUUGUGACAUGUACUUAUAUACAGUAUGUAUGAUUGUUUUUCUAUUUAAUAAUUUUUGCUUUGUCAUUUUUGACAUACAUUUAUUUUUCAUAUAUUGUCCUCAAAGAUAUAUAGAAUCAAUUAUGCUUUCUUUUAUUUUAACUUAAUAAUUGAAUUGGAUCAUUAUAUGUACAGAUAUAGAUUUGUAUUUUGUGGAUUCCUUCCAUAAUUUGAAUGUAUGCUGUUUUGUAGUUGGACUCUUAUCGAGCAUUUUUCUAGUUUUUGCUUGUUGGUUUCUUGAUAUGUUUAUAUGUUUUUGUUUCAGGCCUUCCUUGGAUUGGCCUCUCAAAAUGACUGCCCUUAUUUGAAACACCUGUCAGGUGACUUUUGCUAUUUGUCCUGAAGAAGGCGGUUGGCCAAAAUGUCAAUCUAUAUAAGUUGAAAUAAGUGAGUGUGGGACUUUACUGUGACAUGUCAUUUACGCAUACUAAUAGACUGCAGUAACUGUGCACAAGUGUGAGGGAGAUGCUGUGUAACAUAAAGCAAAGAAAUCACAUCAAUAAAUAACGGCAAAUUCAUUAUCAGCUGGAGA